UGCAAGAUAGCUUAAAGGCAGAGCUGCCGACUGUUAAUCGGCACAGUGCAGGUUCGACUCCUGCUCUUGCAGCCU
rnacentral:tRNA from 1 species